rnacentral:rRNA from 1 species
GCGACGUGCCUAAUACAUGCAAGUCGAGCGGAGAUUUGAAAAGCUUGCUUUUCAAAACUUACCGGCGGACGGGUGAGUAACACGUGGGCAACCUGCCCUUGAGACGGGGAUAACUCCGGGAAACCGGAGCUAAUACCGGAUAACACAUAUCUUCGCAUGAGGAUAUGUUAGAAGGUGGCUUUUAGCUACCACUCAGGGAUGGGCCCGCGGCGCAUUAGCUAGUUGGUGAGGUAACGGCUCACCAAGGCGACUAUGCGUAGCCGACCUGAGAGGGUGAUCGGCCACACUGGGACUGAGACACGGCCCAGACUCCUACGGGAGGCAGCAGUAGGGAAUCUUCCGCAAUGGACGAAAGUCUGACGGAGCAACGCCGCGUGAGUGAUGAAGGUUUUCGGAUCGUAAAGCUCUGUUGUUAGGGAAGAACAAGUACCUGUUAAAUAAGCAGGUACCUUGACGGUACCUAACCAGAAAGCCACGGCUAACUACGUGCCAGCAGCCGCGGUAAUACGUAGGUGGCAAGCGUUGUCCGGAAUUAUUGGGCGUAAAGCGCGCGCAGGCGGUUCCUUAAGUCUGAUGUGAAAGCCCACGGCUCAACCGUGGAGGGUCAUUGGAAACUGGGGAACUUGAGUGCAAAAGAGGAGAGCGGAAUUCCACGUGUAGCGGUGAAAUGCGUAGAGAUGUGGAGGAACACCAGUGGCGAAGGCGGCUCUCUGGUCUGUAACUGACGCUGAGGCGCGAAAGCGUGGGGAGCGAACAGGAUUAUAUACCCUGGUAGUCCACGCCGUACACGAUGAGUGCUAAGUGUUAGAGGGUUUCCGCCCUUUAGUGCUGCAGCAAACGCAUUAAGCACUCCGCCUGGGGGAGUACGGUCGCGAGACUGAAACUCAGAGGUAGUGACGGGGACCCGCACAAGCGGUGGAGCAUGUGUUUUAAUUCGAAGCAACGCGAAGAACCAUACCAGGUCUUGACAUCCUCUGCUACUUCUAGAGAUAGAAGCUUCCCUUCGGGACCAGAGUGACAGGUGGUGCAUGGUUGUCAUCAGCUCGUGUCGUGAGAUGUUGGGUUAAGUCCCACAACGAGCGCAACCCUUGAUCUUAGUUGCCAUCAUUCAGUUGGGCACUCUAAGGUGACUGCCGGUGACA